rnacentral:rRNA from 1 species
AAUCAACGCUGGCGGCGUGCCUCAGACAUGCAAGUCGAACGCGAAAGUCCCCUUCGGGGGAUGAGUAGAGUGGCGCCCGGGUGAGUAACACGUAGGUAAUCUACCUUCGGGUGGGGAAUAACACCGGGAAACCGGUGCUAAUACCGCAUAAUGCAGCGGCACCACAUGGUGACAGUUGUUAAAGCGGGGGAUUUUCGAACCUUGCGCCUGAAGAGGAGCCUGCGGCAGGUUAGCUAGUUGGUAGGGUAACGGCUUACCAAGGCGACGAUCUGUAGCCGGCCUGAGAGGGCGGUCGGCCACACUGACACUGACACACGGGUCAGACUCCUACGGGAGGCAGCAGUCGGGAAUUUUGGGCAAUGGGCGAAAGCCUGACCCAGCAACGCCGCGUGAAGGAUGAAAUCCCUCGGGAUGUAAACUUCGCAAGAAUAGGAAGAAUUAGCGAGCGCUAAUACCGCUCGUGAUGACGGUACUAUUUGUAAGCUCCGGCUAACUCCGUGCCAGCAGCCGAC